rnacentral:rRNA from 1 species
AACGAACGCUGGCGGCAUGCCUAACACAUGCAAGUCGAACGAGACCUUCGGGUCUAGUGGCGCACGGGUGCGUAACGCGUGGGAACCUGCCCUUAGGUUCGGAAUAACUCCCCGAAAGGGGUGCUAAUACCGGAUAAUGUCUUCGGACCAAAGAUUUAUCGCCUUUGGAUGGGCCCGCGUUGGUUUAGCUAGUUGGUAGGGUAAAAGCCUACCAAGGCGACGAUCCAUAGCUGGUCUGAGAGGAUGAUCAGCCACACUGGGACUGAGACACGGCCCAGACUCCUACGGGAGGCAGCAGUGGGGAAUAUUGGAAAAUGGGCGAAAGCCUGAUCCAGCAAUGCCGCGUGAGUGAUGAAGGCCUUAGGGUUGUAAAGCUCUUUUACCCGGGAUGAUAAUGACAGUACCGGGAGAAUAAGCUCCGGCUAACUCCGUG